ensembl:lncRNA
GAGUUGUAGAGUACAGGUAAGUCCUGUGAAAUACAGGUAAGGGUUAUAGAACACAAGUAAGUCCUGUGAAAUACAAUUUGGCAUUGUAGAGUACAGGUAAGUCCUGUGAAAUACAGGUAAGAGUUGUAGAAUACCAUUAAGUCCUGUGAAAUAGAAGUAAGAGUUGUAGAGUACAGGUAAGUCCUGUGAAAUACAGGUAAGAGUUGUACAAUACCAGUAAGUCCUGUGAAAUACAAGUAAGAGUUGUAGAGUACAGGUAAGUCCUGUGAAAUACAGGUUAGAGUUGUAGAAUACCAGUAAGUCCUGUGAAAUAGAAGUGAGAGUUGUAGAAUACAGGUAAGUCCUGUGAAAUGCAGGUAAGGGUUAUAGAAUAGAAGUUAAGUCCUGUGAAAUACAAGUAAGAGUUGUAGAGUACAGGUAAGUCCUGUGAAAUACAGGUAAGAGUUGUAGAAUACCAGUAAGUCCUGUGAAAUACAAGUGAGAGUUGUAGAGUACAGGUAAGUCCUGUGAAAUACAGGUAAGGGUUAUAGAAUAGAAGUUAAGUCCUGUGAAAUACAAGUAAGGGUUAUAGAAUAGAA